UAUAUCUAACAGACAGAAGACUUCUGGUGCUGAGGGGGAGCGUUUAAAAGAAGCAGCUAACAUCAAUAAAUCAUUAUCUACCUUGGGUCAUGUUAUUAUGAUACUAGUGGAUGUGGCAAAUGGGAAGCAGAGGCAUAUCCCUUACAGAGACUCUAGACUAACUUUUCUUCUUCAGGACUCUCUUGGCGGAAACUCAAAAACAAUGAUCAUUGCCAAUGUCAGCCCUUCUAUCUG